CAAGUACUCCCUCCGUUCCGAAUUACUUGUCGCGGGUAUGGAUGUAUCUAGAUGUAUUUUAGUUCUAGAUACAUCCAUUUCUGCGACGAGUAAUUUGGAACGAAGGGAGUAAUAA
rnacentral:pre_miRNA from 1 species